CCUACGGGAGGCUGCAGUGAGGAAUAUUGGUCAAUGGGAGAGAUCCUGAACCAGCCAAGCCGCGUGAGGGAAGACGGCCCUAUGGGUUGUAAACCUCUUUUGUCGGAGAACAAAACCCGGGACGUGUCCCGGACUGCGUGUAUCCGAAGAAAAAGCAUCGGCUAACUCCGUGCCAGCAGCCGCGGUAAUACGGAGGAUGCGAGCGUUAUCCGGAUUUAUUGGGUUUAAAGGGUGAGUAGGCGGUCCGUUAAGUCAGCGGGAAAAUUGCGGGGCUCAACCCCGUCGAGCCGUUGAAACUGGCAGACUUGAGUUGGCGAGAAGUACGCGGAAUGCGCGGUGUAGCGGUGAAAUGCAUAGAUAUCGCGCAGAACUCCGAUUGCGAAGGCAGCGUACCGGCGCCAGACUGACGCUGAGGCACGAAAGCGUGGGGAUCGAACAGGAUUAGAUACCCCUGUAGUC
rnacentral:rRNA from 1 species